rnacentral:rRNA from 1 species
GAUGAACGCUGGCGGCGUGCCUAAUACAUGCAAGUCGAGCGAACGGACGAGAAGCUUGCUUCUCUGAUGUUAGCGGCGGACGGGUGAGUAACACGUGGAUAACCUACCUAUAAGACUGGGAUAACUUCGGGAAACCGGAGCUAAUACCGGAUAAUAUUUUGAACCGCAUGGUUCAAAAGUGAAAGACGGUCUUGCUGUCACUUAUAGAUGGAUCCGCGCUGCAUUAGCUAGUUGGUAAGGUAACGGCUUACCAAGGCAACGAUGCAUAGCCGACCUGAGAGGGUGAUCGGCCACACUGGAACUGAGACACGGUCCAGACUCCUACGGGAGGCAGCAGUAGGGAAUCUUCCGCAAUGGGCGAAAGCCUGACGGAGCAACGCCGCGUGAGUGAUGAAGGUCUUCGGAUCGUAAAACUCUGUUAUUAGGGAAGAACAUAUGUGUAAGUAACUGUGCACAUCCUGACGGUACCUAAUCAGAAAGCCACGGCUAACUACGU